rnacentral:rRNA from 1 species
GCAGUCGAGCGACGGAUGAAGUGCUUGCACUUCUGACGUUAGCGGCGAACGGGUGAGUAACACGUAAGGAAUCUACCUAUAAGCGGGGGAUAACAUUCGGAAACGGGUGCUAAUACCGCAUAAUAUCUUCUUCCGCAUGGAAGAAGAUUGAAAGACGGCUCUGCUGUCACUUAUAGAUGACCUUGCGGUGCAUUAGUUAGUUGGUGGGGUAACGGCCUACCAAGACGAUGAUGCAUAGCCGACCUGAGAGGGUGAUCGGCCACAUUGGGACUGAGACACGGCCCAAACUCCUACGGGAGGCAGCAGUAGGGAAUCUUCCGCAAUGGGCGAAAGCCUGACGGAGCAAUGCCGCGUGAGUGAAGAAGGCCUUCGGGUCGUAAAACUCUGUUAUAAGAGAAGAACAAAUUGUAGAGUAACUGCUACAGUAUUGACGGUAUCUUAUCAGAAAGCCACGGCUAACUACGUGCCAG